UAAUCACCAUAUAAUCUACUUAUAUCGAGAUAAAGGACAUAUAUAUGCAAUCAUGAACACAAUCAGAUAGGAGAUAAAAUAGUGAACACAUGAAUCAUUGUAUACAAGCGUAAAACAUUCUUGCUUUCAGUAUACAAAUCCAACAAUCUCCCACUUAUACUAAAGCAAACUUUUAGUAUACAAUGCGUCUAAAUACAGACUAUUACAAUACUAUCACUUCUCUCAUUUAUACUAAAAGUUUCCUAAGUGGGUGGCAUCAACCGCAAUCCUAUCCCUCGAGCAUGCAUGGUUCUCGUAGGCCUUCUGCGGUAAGCCCUUUGUGAAAGGAUCAGCUAAGUUCUCCAAGGUAUUGAUCUUCUCAACCAACACAUCUCCUCUUUGUACGAUUUCUCGUAUAAUGUGGUACUUUCUCUCUAUGUGUUUAGUCGCCUUGUGGGUCCUGGGUCACGAAGAACUUUAUUUCUUUUAUCUCUUUACCGAUACUUCUUCCUUUUCACUGAUUUUCUGUAUUUUUCUCAUUUCUUCGCACUGAUUUCGGCCGCAAUCGUGUCUUCAACGUUGUCUCUCCUAAGAUUCGUGCUUGUUCUUACUGAUUUUGUGGUCUACGAAGUGAUUGUUCGGAUUUCGUCGUCUGUUUCUGUGCUUGUUCUUCAUUUGCUCCCCCAAUUCCAAGGUAUUAGGGUUUUUUUCGGUCAUUUUUUCCCUUUACUGAUGUCUUUGUUUAUGAUUUUUUUGUUAGAAAUACUUGUUUUGUUGUUAUACCUGCUGUGUUUGUUAAUUUUUUUUGCAUAUGUUCAUUUUUUCUUUGAUCUGUUGUUGGUUAGUUCUUGUAUUGUUUAGAUCUAGAGUUUUUACAUCUGUAUUGUUUAGAUUUGCUCUGGAUUUGGUUCGUUGUUGAUGUUUUGAAAUGUCCAUUUGAGAGAAAAUAAAUUUAUUUGCUUUACUUGAUUUAAUUUCCUGAAUUCUGAAGAAACUGAUUUGAGAGAUCGUUAUUUUUGUACAUUUUUGUGCUCGUGUAUGGUUGAGUGUUAUAAGAGAAGAUAGGUCGUAUAUAACAAGAUAUUUUCGCAUCUAAGUAUAUAUUUCUUUCAAUAAGUGUAUUGUUUUUACAUCAAAUGAGUUGAGCUCAUUUUUGUGCUUUUCUUGGCUCCCCAGGUCCUGAGGGUUGCUGGGGACCGGAGUGGGCGAACUUGCAGCCAAAGGGCACCCGUGGCCCGCAACAGGGGCGCGUGGUGUUGGGAUCUUGUGUUAGAACAUGUGAAGAUUGUAAACAUUUUUCCAAGAUUGGAUCAAGAGAGUGUGAGAAGCCGUUUGAGGCUUAAUUUACUAGUUGAAAUGUGUGCAUUUCCUUGGAUGUAAUGUAACAUAAGUAGGAUUUGUACCUUUUUUCCUCUAUCAUAAAUUACAUGGAUGGCUUCAUUUU